AUGCAGGUGAUGGUGACAAGUUUCCACAGUACUAGUGGCUGUUACCUUCCAAUUUCAAAGUGCAAUGUACUUCCGAUUUCAACAGUAGGACUAAAAUUAUCUCUUAACAUGUCUCUGAUAUGGGGUUCUAGACUUCUAGUGGUCUCCAUGUUUAAGAGUUGGAGGAGACCACGCUUGUUAGCACAUGAUGGUCAUGGACUUGUAAUUAUAUAUUCGGUCCGUUUCAAUUUUCUCUCAGCAUUUUGUUUCUCUAAUAUGGAGAAGGAUUGGAAUACGAGCAUGCAUAUUGUUUUGAUAAAUGACAUCAAAUUUAUUCAAUCCAAACAACUAAUUGUUAGCAAAACCAGGGUAAGCCUUCAUAACAUAUCUCCCCUAAUAUUAUUCGUGGUCUGA
rnacentral:rRNA from 1 species